AGAAUGAACGCUGGCGGCGUGCUUUACACAUGCAAGUCGAGCGAGGCGGCCCGCAAGGGUCAGUCGAGCGGCGAACGGGUGAGUAACGCGUGGAUAACCUGCCCUGAGGUGUGGAACAACCAGGGGGAAACUCUGGCUAAUACCGCAUGAUACCGAGAGGUCAAAGGGGGCUCGCAAGAGCUCUCGCCACAGGAGGGGUCCGCGUUCGAUUAGCUAGUUGGUAGGGUAAUGGCCUACCAAGGCGACGAUCGAUAGCCGGCCUGAGAGGGUGAUCGGCCACACUGGAACUGAGACACGGUCCAGACUCCUACGGGAGGCAGCAGUGGGGAAUUUGCGCAAUGGGCUAACGCCUGACGCAGCAACGCCGCGUGGAGGAUGAAGGUCCUUGGAUUGUAAACUCCUGUCAGACAGGAAAAAGCGACCUGACCUCAUACGUCAGGAAGUUGAUUGUACCUGCAGAGGAAGCCCCGGCUAACUCUGUGCCAGC
rnacentral:rRNA from 1 species